AUGUGGUGAGGGCACGAAUCAAGGAGCUUCCUAAAACGUUCCCAAUACUCAUAGAGAGUUUCCAAUUCAUCUUGAAUGAUGCAAGAGAUUUUCUUCCUCAACUU